UUUGAAGUUACCAAGGAACUAACCCUUGUUCUUCUCACUAUUCAUAUCUACCAGCAAGCUCUAUAUUCUUAUCUUUCUCCCACUCCUCAAUAUUUCUUUUUGUAUCAUCCAUUUUCGGUUUCUAAUUUUCUAGCCUUUAUUUCAUUCUGUUACUUCUAAGUUUUCCUCUGUUUUCCUUUCUUGUACUGAUUUCUGACCAUCAUUUCGGAAGUCCUUUGAAAGAUUGUCUGUUUUUUCUUCAAAUUUAGUUUUAAUUUCUAGCUAGAUCUUUUACAUACAUGUCAGUAACUCUAUAUAAUCUGCACAUGCAUGUUUGAGAUUGUACCUGGUGCAUAUAAUUUUGGCUUAAUCAUCAUUGAUAUAUAUAUGUUCGUCUUGGCCUAAUCAUCAUUGAUAUAUAUAUGUUCGUCUUUUGGCAGUAAUUACUAACUGUAAAUCGAAAUGUCGAUGCAAAAUUCUAUUGUAUUAUGCCUUUUGUUGGAAGAUCGGGUCUGUGCUACAGUAGCAAAAAUUUAAUUGGUGAUAAUAUCAGUUUAUUUGUAAACGUACUUUCGUUGUGUUCUAUAUGUGUAAAUCUUAAUAUAUUUUAUAGUUAGUACAAUAUUUUCCCUAAUUUUUAUUUUUUUACUCUUCUUUUACUUUAUUCUUUCGGUUAUUUUUCAAUUUUUACUCAAGACGGUGAGAUUUUAAACUCUGAAAACUAACGAACUCAAGGUGUUCGGCGAUAUGCCUGAAACAACACAAAACUAUUUGGUCACAAUUUCUUUUGAUCUCUUUUAUAAUAUCGAGUAAAUUAGGACUAACUUCAACUAUGCAAAAUUUUAUAUUCCUGUGAAUUGGGGAAAUUUUUCAUAUAAGUUAUACAAGUAUAGAAAUACUUGUAGAAGGCUAAAAAGCAAUAGUAGCUCUUUGCAUUUACUUGUUAUUUCAGUUAGAUGUGUCGCUAUUUGGUAAUUGGCCAUGGUAGUAAAAUUGAGAUGGUCAAAAAGCUAUCACUGAUGAUUCUUUUUUGUCUACCUAAUUUUUUAUUGGCCAGGUAUAGGUGUACAAGUAAUAAUGUGAAAAUAAAUUCUAUUCAAAAGACUUCUCUAUGCAAGUAAAAAGUUGCAGAAAGAUAAACUAACUGCGAGUCUGUUGGUUUUUGGGUUCGUGAAACUAUCAUCGAUGGUCUGAGAGUUGCACCUAUAUUCUAUGCAAGAGAGGACUCAUGGGAUUUUCAAGGAAGUUGGAACAAAUGGAACUAUAUUCUAUGCAAGAGAGGACUCAUAGGAUUUUCCUUGGAACAAAUGGAACUUGCAUCUAUUUGAGAGCUUUCACUAUUAUUAAAUAAGAAACAAGAUAGUAAUGAAGGUGUUUAUCAUGCUGCAAAUAGCUACACAUUUCAUUAUCAAGAGUCAUAUCUAUUUUACCCGGAAGCAAAGAUUUUCUUAACAAUUAUCUAGAAGCAAAGAUUUCUGUCUUCUAUAUCUUUUUCUUUUUGGUUUUCUAAGAGUUCAUUUCUACAUCAAUCAUAACUCACAAUUAUUUUGUGCAACCUAUAAUUGCAGAAUAGAUAUAUGUGUUUGAGAAGAAGUCAGCCACGAUGUCAAUUAAUAAGCACUAUGUAACCUUGAUGCUAAACUGCAUAGUUCAGCUUCAGAACCUAUUCGUCAGCUCUUAUCCCGAAUCCUGAUUAUUCUGGGAUAAACUUGAAAGAUUGCUUAUCCUCUCGAAUCUGUUCGUUGGUUGAUAUAUGUGCCAUCUCUUGUGAGUUCAUUGUGUGGAGUUCACUUUAAAGUUACUGGAAAGAUUGCUUAUCCUCUCGAAUCUGUUCGUUGGUUGAUAGAUGUGCCAUCUCUUGUGAGGUCAUUGUGUGGAGUUCACUUUAAAGUUACUACAUAUUCUAGCUUGCUAUAUAAAAGUCAUGCCUUACGUAUGCGUUCAAACAAUUUAGUGAAUGCAAUUUUAAGCCAUGUUAAAUUUUCACACUGUUAUAGAAAGUGAACAAUUAAUUGUUAGCUAUAUAGUGAAGUAGGGUUGAAGUUAUUUUAUUUUUGCAGCUAAACCCCACCAUUAGGGAAAAAGGAGUGACUUGAAGGUGCUAAAAGAAGCUCUUGACAUAAAUUGGCUUUUCAUGUGUUAAUACGUUUCAUUAGUCAAAAUACAUUCAGAUCAAGAAGAAAAGUAAUUGAGACCAAAUUACUUCUCAACUAAGGCUGGAUGGUGUAACCUAUUUCACUGAAACUUGUACCAGUAGAAGUUUCCACCAGAUCAUUCCUUGAGGAAGACACUGGGGUACUGCGGGUUCGUUGUGGUAUUCCAAAGGGGAUGCUUACACUUUAUGCACUCUCCAACAAGAAGGAAUCUAAAAUCUUGGAAUUGGACAUGCGGCUGGUUUCGAUACUUUCAUCAAAUAUUAUUGCAAAAAGAAGACUUAUAGUAAUGAAGGUCAAUUGAGUGAUUGACUUUUGCCAGAAGUGCAGUUUCUUUUGUACAGUUGCCCUUGCAUAUUUCAUAUCGUGUAUUACAUAGUUACUGAAAUGAAUGUACAUUAUUUGGAACUAUUAUGUAAAUAUCUAAUCAACAUGAUCAUAAGUUUCCUUUAUAUGUAAACGGUAAUUAUGCUAAACAAUUGAAAUAAGUAUGAACCUUUUUGGUACAA